CACAGUUGUAUCUGGGAUUAUG
rnacentral:miRNA from 14 species